CUACGGGUUGCACCAGUGAGGAAUAUUGCACAAUGGGGGGAACCCUGAUGCAGCAACGCCGCGUGGAGGAUGACGCAUUUCGGUGUGUAAACUCCUUUUAUAUGUCAAGAAAAUGACGGUAGUAUAUGAAUAAGCACCGGCUAACUCCGUGCCAGCAGCCGCGGUAAUACGGAGGGUGCAAGCGUUACUCGGAAUCACUGGGCGUAAAGGACGCGUAGGCGGGUUGGAAAGUCAGGUGUGAAAUCCUACAGCUUAACUGUAGAACUGCACUUGAAACUUCUAAUCUAGAGUAUGGGAGGGGGAGAUGGAAUUAGUGGUGUAGGGGUAAAAUCCGUAGAUAUCACUAGGAAUACCUAAAGCGAAGGCGAUCUCCUGGAACAUUACUGACGCUAAGGCGUGAAAGCGUGGGGAGCAAACAGGAUUAGAUAUCCCUGUAGUC
rnacentral:rRNA from 1 species